UGGGGAAUCUUGGACAAUGGGGGCAACCCUGAUCCAGCCAUGCCGCGUGAUCGAUGAAGGCCUUAGGGUUGUAAAGAUCUUUCAGCUGGGAAGAUAAUGACGGUACCAGCAGAAGAAGCCCCGGCUAACUCCGUGCCAGCAGCCGCGGUAAUACGGAGGGGGCUAGCGUUGUUCGGAAUUACUGGGCGUAAAGCGCACGUAGGCGGAUCAGUUAGUCGGGGGUGAAAUCCCGGGGCUCAACCCCGGAACUGCCUUCGAUACUGCUGGUCUGGAGUCCGAGAGAGGUGAGUGGAAUUCCGAGUGUAGAGGUGAAAUUCGUAGAUAUUCGGAGGAACACCAGUGGCGAAGGCGGCUCACUGGCUCGGUACUGACGCUGAGGUGCGAAAGCGUGGGGAGUAAACA
rnacentral:rRNA from 1 species